ensembl:lncRNA
AAGUUACUGUACUGUAGGUUACUGUAGGUCACUGCAGACUGCUGUACUGUAGGUUACUCUACUUUAGGUCACUUUACUGUAGGUUCUGCAUUGAAGGGGCAGUCUCUCUGGGAGAGGGGCUGAGCUGGUAGAGAGAGAGAGGCUGAGCUGGUAGAGGGAGGCUGAGCUGGUAGAGAGAGGCUGAGCUGGUAGAGAGAGGAUGAGCUGGUAGAGAGAGGCUGAGCUGGUAGAGAGAGAGGCUGAGCUGGUAGAGAGAGAGAGAGGCUGAGCUGGUAGAGAGAGGCUGAGCUGGUAGAGAGAGGCUGAGCUGGUAGAGAGAGGCUGAGCUGGUAGAGAGAGAGAGAGGCUGAGCUGGUAGAGAGAGGCUGAGAUGGAGAUAGAGGGCCACAGAGGGAGGUGAGCUGGAGGAAGGAUGGAGCAGAUGACGGAGGGAUGAGGGAGAGAGAAAGGCUGACCUCUGGCCGCUCUCAGGGGUGGAGGGCUGCCAGGAUGAGAUGGAGGAGUUGGAAGAGAGGUGGAUGCUGGGAGGAGAGAGCAGAACC